GACGAACGCUGGCGGCGUGCUUAACACAUGCAAGUCGAACGAAGUGGCGAACGGGUGAGUAAUACGGGGGUAACCUGCCCUCCUUUUUGGGCUAAGCCUUGGAAACGGGGUCUAAUACCGAAUAAAGGGGGAUGGGCUCGCGUCGUAUAGGCUGGUGGGUGGGGUGAUGGCCUACCAAGGCGGUGACGUGUAGCCGGCCGUAGAGGGUGACCGGCCACACGGGAACUUAGAGACGGGCCAGACUCCUACGGGAGGCAGCAGUGGGGGAUAUUGCACAAUGGGCGAAAGCCUGAUGCAGCCAUGCCGCGUGUAUGAAGAAGGCCUUCGGGUUGUAAAGUACUUUCAGCGUGGAGACGUUACCCGCAGAAGAAGCACCGGCUAACUCCGUGCCAGCCGCCGCGGUAAUAC
rnacentral:rRNA from 1 species